rnacentral:rRNA from 1 species
AGAACGAACGCUGGCGGCAGGCUUAACACAUGCAAGUCGAGCGCCCCGCAAGGGGAGCGGCAGACGGGUGAGUAACGCGUGGGAACGUACCCCUCGGUUCGGAAUAACUCAGGGAAACUUGAGCUAAUACCGGAUACGGCAUUCAAGAGAAAUCUUGGCGGCGAAAGAUUUAUCGCCGAGGGAUCGGCCCGCGUCCGAUUAGCUAGUUGGUGUGGUAAUGGCGCACCAAGGCGACGAUCGGUAGCUGGUCUGAGAGGAUGAUCAGCCACAUUGGGACUGAGACACGGCCCAAACUCCUACGGGAGGCAGCAGUGGGAAUAUUGGACAAUGGGCGCAAGCCUGAUCCAGCCAUGCCGCGUGAGUGAUGAAGGCCUUAGGGUUGUAAAGCUCUUUCGCCCACGACGAUAAUGACGGUAGUGGAGAAGAAGCCCGGCUAACUUCGCGCCAGCAGCCGC